GAUGAUGUAGCUCAGUGGUAGAGCAUUUUGGCAAGUAUAAGGCACUGGGUUUGAUCUCCAGCAUUAUAA
rnacentral:tRNA from 1 species